UUGCUUUGGCCACAGAGUUGCAGAGAAGCUUCCAGAAAGCAAAUAGCAGGAGACAAAAUUCCACCACUGCAUUUCCUGACCCUGUUUAUGAAGAUAUUGACGUUCAGGAGCUUGAUUCAGGCUCAGGUUCAUUUACUUCGUAUAAUGCUGAAUUCAAAAGUGAAUAUGACGAUGUCCAG